rnacentral:rRNA from 1 species
GUUAGGAAUAUUGGACAAUGGGCGCAAGCCUGAUCCAGCCAUGCCGCGUGAACGAUGAAGGCCUUCGGGUUGUAAAGUUCUUUAGCCGAUGAUUAUAAUGACUGUAGUCGGAAAAUAAGCCCCGGCUAACUUCGUGCCAGCAGCCGCGGUAAUACGAAGAGGGCGAGCGUUAUUCGGAAUCACUGGGCGUAAAGCGUGCGUAGGCGGUCUCGUAAGUUAGGAGUGAAAGCCCAGGGCUCAACCUUGGAAUUGCUCUUAAUACUGCAAGGCGAGAAUCUCGAAGAGGAUAGCGGAAUUUCCAGUGUAGCAGUGAAAUGCGUAGAUAUUGGAAGGAACAGCAGUGGCGUAAGCGGCUAUCUGGACGAGUAUUGACGCUGAGGCACGAAAGCGUGGGGAUCAAACAGGAUUAGAAACCCCAGUAGUCC